rnacentral:rRNA from 1 species
UACGGAGGGUGCAAGCGUUAUCCGGAUUUACUGGGUUUAAAGGGUGUGUAGGCGGGCUUUUAAGUCAGUGGUGAAAUCUCCGGGCUCAACCUGGGAACCGCGCUUGAGACUGGCAUGCUCGAGUUCGGGAGAGGAUGGUGGAAUUCCCAGUGUAGAGGUGAAAUUCGUAGAUAUUGGGAAGAACACCGAUGGCGAAGGCAGCCAUCUGGACCGACACUGACGCUGAGGCGCGAAAGCGUGGGGAGCAAACAGG